rnacentral:rRNA from 1 species
UACGUAGGUGGCGAGCGUUGUCCGGAUUUACUGGGCGUAAAGAGCGCGCAGGCGGUCGUAUAAGUCGCGUGUGAAAGCCCCCGGCUCAACUGGGGAGGGUCACGCGAUACUGUUCGACUCGAAGGCAGGAGAGGGAAGUGGAAUUCCCGGUGUAGUGGUGAAAUGCGUAGAUAUCGGGAGGAACACCAGUGGCGAAGGCGACUUCCUGGACUGUUAUUGACGCUGAGGCGCGAAAGCGUGGGGAGCAAACAGG